rnacentral:rRNA from 1 species
UACGAAGGGGGCGAGCGUUGUUCGGAUUUACUGGGCGUAAAGGGCGCGUAGGCGGCGCGAGAAGUCGAGUGUGAAAGCCCCGGGCUCAACCUGGGAAUGGCGCUCGAUACUCUUGUGCUUGAGUUCGGGAGAGGAGCGUGGAAUUCCCAGUGUAGAGGUGAAAUUCGUAGAUAUUGGGAAGAACACCGGUGGCGAAGGCGGCGCUCUGGACCGAGACUGACGCUGAGGCGCGAAAGCGUGGGGAGCGAACAGG